GCCUUGGUGGUGUAGUGGUAGCACGCGCCCCCCGGAAGGGUGAAACGUGGGUUCAACUCCCGCUUGAGGUC